UUUACUAUAUAGCAACGUAUAUAUGACAAUGUAAUGAUGAUAGUUGAAGCUACUUGAAACAUUUGAAGAUCGUAAAAUUGAUAAUAAACAAUUUAAUGAGGAUAUUUGACGUAAAAAAUAAAAAAGAAAAAAAUACGCUUCCAGGAUAAAAUUAUGAACAAUUUCUUAAAUUAAAAAAAAAAAAUAAAUAAAUUAUGACAAAAAAACAAGUGAACUUUCUGUUAAUCGUGUUGUUCAUUUGGACGGUACACGAGUUAACUAGAGUCAUGGAAGAUAUAAAAGAAUAAUCUGAUCGAUCGUUUCGAAGGUUAAGAGAUAAGGAAUAUUUAAAGUGAUAAAAAUCGCCUACAUAGAUUCGAUUACUUAAACGAUAUAAUCAGGAAUACGAGAGCGAGAUAUCGAUCGUGAUUU